AUCAAAUCAGCCACUCAAUACAAAAUCCAUUGUGUCAAAAAAAAUAACAAAAAAAUAGACGAAAUGUCUAAUGCGAUCUUGUCUGGCUCACACACACAUCCUAACACACCCCACCACCCAGCCGGCUCAUAGAAAUAGAAAACUUUCUUUGUUCAAUGGUCCUUGCCCUUGCCCCCAGACAGCGACAGACAGAAAGAGAGGGUAGAUUUCGGGGGAGAACCCACUCGAAUUUUUACGUUUUCUGUCACAAGCGUUUGAGUUUACACAAUGAUUACGGCCAAUGAUGCAAGAAUCGACGAGGGGGCGAGUCAGAGACCAGCACAGAGGCCAGGAGGCGGGUUGGAGCGAAAGAACGAAGCCGAGACGAGAACCGAGAGACGACUUAGACAAAGAGCACCAACACAGAUGCCCAGAACUGCCUGGUCGGAACGUAAACAAGAAAUCGCACAUCGCAGAUUUGUGGGACGUCUGUGGUGGUGUUAGUAAGAGUAUCUGUGUGUUUGUGCGUCCCCUGCACCCCAUUCUCUCACACCCUCACCAUGACCAUCGAAUUGGCAUUUACAGUUCAAUGUGCUCCCCACACACACACACACUCUCACACUUGCAACAGUUUUUAUACAGUCACGUCAGCGGCCAGACGCCGUUAACGUCGCUGUCGCUGUCGCUGUCUGCGUUGCAGUCAACGUUAGCUGCGCAGCUGCCGGCAACCCCUACCAGCACCCCCUACAGCAAAGCAAGCAGCGCCGUCGCACUAUGGUCCAGACGACCCCUUUUGUUGGCCAAAAUUCAAAUUUUAAAAGUUAAAAUAUCGAAGUCAUUUUAAUCGCAUUUUAUUCGGAGAAGACCGACUAUCAAUGCUGCAUACUAAAAAUUUUUAUAGAUGGCGCCACAUUCACGAAAUCGGAACUUAAACUCAGCUGGUCAUACUGAAAAAAGUUUGAAGUGUAAAAGUGAAAAAAAAGAGUCUUUUUCAACAUCACAUUGCGCAAAAAAUACAACAAUUUUACCAAUCUUUAGACAUGAAUAAGAUUCAGUGGGGUUUGUACUACGUGUUGUGUAUAAUGAAAUGUUAUAUAUUGUUGUGGUGUCUUCGUAGUUAUAUGUUAAAGUGAAUCGUCUGAACUGUGAAAAUUGUGUAGAAAUCUCGUUUUUAAAAAGCUGUAGAAAGUGAGUCCAGCCUAGUCCAACCUUGAAACCUUUUGUACGUCGUAGAGUAAUUAAUUAUCUUUCGAUUGUAUAUAGUCAGAAUUGCCACUUUUAACCACUUUCUUUGGAAUUUGCGUUUUUAGCUCAUAACCUAAAAUUCGACAACUCAGAAUUGUUUGAAAUAUGGAAGUCUGUGAAGACCCAAGAACAAAAGUACAAAGCAAUUCUUGAUUUUUUUAAAUCUAAAACUAGUGGCGAAAUAUUUGAGAAAAAAAUGCAAGCUUUUGAGGAUGCCAGUAAGAAAAUAUGCUACCGUUUAACGGUAAAAUGGAAGAAUUGCAGAUCGAAUGCAAAGCUAUUUCAAAGGAGACGUAAAUGCAGCCGUAUCGAUAAUAUUUGUGAUGUUUUCCAUCGAGCCAUGGAUACAUCUGAUCCAAUCAUUUCGUCAGUCAACCUGGAUAGACGCAUUCAUAACCCAAAAAAAAUGAAGCUCCCACCUGAAGUCUUGGAAAUGCUCUUAUGCGAAGGGGGCCCAAGUGAAGACUUCGAAUAUGAAGAGGAAUUCGAUGACAGUCUUAAAUACGAACUAAAUUUUGAACUAGAGAAUGAAAAUCAAGAGCUUUUACAACAUUUGGAUCCCUGAAGCUGUUUCCUUUAUGUGGAACCCUUAAUUUCAAUGAUUUUUAUUAAAACUGUAUAUUAAUAUUAUGUUUUUGAUCCAAUACAACCAUAUUUUAAAACAUUUAAUAAAAUAAAAAAAAUAUAUAUAAAAAGAGGCGGUGCCACACCCAUUUUUUUUUAAAUUUCUACUGCCUAUGGAUUAUAUUAACCCAAUAAAAAAAACUAGAUCGAAAUAUCUUGUUCCAUUCGUGAGUUAUUAAUUUAUGCCAACAAAAGGGGUCGUCUGGACCAUAGUGCGUCGCUGCAGUGACAAAAAUUUCACAAAAACAACAUGACUAAGCGGCCAUCUCUUUGCUCCACCGCCAUUGCCAUUGCCAUUGCCACUGCCACCCUAAUUUUUUGUUGUUUUGCGUUUCAAAGUUUGUUUGUUGUUUGUUGAUUUGUUUAAUGUUGCACCUACAUUGUGUUGUCUUGUUGUUGUUGUUGUUGUUGUUGCUGCUACUGUUGCUGCUGGGAUUAAGAUUAUCCUGCCUGAUGUGGUAGCUGGUAUCCGUAUUGUGUUUGAGUAUCAAAAGAUUCUUGGUCGUUGCAGCCGCUUUGAAAAUGUUUACUUUCUGUUCCAGCGUGCACACAAUCGACAUAAUGUUUUGUUUUUUUUUUUUUAAAUAAUCAUUUAA